CCUACUGGUGGCAGCAGUGAGGAAUAUUGGUCAAUGGACGAGAGUCUGAACCAGCCAAGUAGCGUGAAGGAUGACUGCCCUAUGGGUUGUACACUUCUUUUAUAUGGGAAUAAAAUGUUCCACGUGUGGGAUUUUGUAUGUACCCUAUGAAUAAGGAUCGGCGAACUACGUGCCAGCAGCCGCGGUAAUACGGAGGAUGCGAGCGUUCUCCGGAUUUAUUGGGUUUAACGGGAGCCUAGAUGGAUUGUUAAGUCAGUUGUGAAAGUUUGCGGCUCAACCGUAAAAUUGCAGUUGAAACUGGCAGUCUUGAGUACAGUAGAGGUGGGCGGAAUUCGUGGUGUAGCGGUGAAAUGCUUAGAUAUCACGAAGAACUCCGAUUGCGAAGGCAGUUCACUGGACUGCAACUGACACUGAGGCUCGAAAGUGUGGGUAUCAAACAGGAUUAGAUACCCCAGUAGUC
rnacentral:rRNA from 1 species